CCUACGGGCGGCAGCAGUGGGGAAUAUUGGACAAUGGGGGCAACCCUGAUCCAGCCAUGCCGCGUGUGUGAAGAAGGCCCUCGGGUUGUAAAGCACUUUCAGUGAGGAAGAACGCCUGGUGGUUAAUACCCAUCAGGAAAGACAUCACUCACAGAAGAAGCACCGGCUAACUCCGUGCCAGCAGCCGCGGUAAUACGGAGGGUGCGAGCGUUAAUCGGAAUUACUGGGCGUAAAGCGCGCGUAGGUGGCGUGAUAAGCCGGUUGUGAAAGCCCCGGGCUCAACCUGGGAACGGCAUCCGGAACUGUCAAGCUAGAGUGCAGGAGAGGAAGGUAGAAUUCCCGGUGUAGCGGUGAAAUGCGUAGAGAUCGGGAGGAAUACCAGUGGCGAAGGCGGCCUUCUGGACUGACACUGACACUGAGGUGCGAAAGCGUGGGUAGCAAACAGGAUUAGAUACCCUGGUAGUC
rnacentral:rRNA from 1 species